CCCAUGCCCUGCCCCAUUUCCCCCAGCCCCAUCCCUGCCUGCCCCUGGGCUGCCAGCGGGACAGGGCACUGAGAGCACUUUUAUGUAGGAAGCUGCUAUUGUUACGAGUUUUUGUUGUGAUGAUGAUGAUAAAAAGCAAGCCUCCCCCAGGAGAUGAGGUGAUGUGCUCUGCGAUGCUCCAGUGUCCCAAGUCCUCCCCCAGGUGUCUCCUGGGGGCGCAGAGGGCUUGUCCUGCUGCUGUGACUGCUCAGCAGCCCCUGGGAAACCUGCUGGGCAAUAGAGGGGACCCAGCACAGGGGAGGUGGGACAUCACCUUAUCGCAGUCCUCUCUUGCAGAUUUAAGGCCAAGAUGGGGGGUGCUGGACCUGCCCCCAGCCCCAUCCUGGCAGGAGUGGACCCGCCAGCAGGAGGCACUUGGGGGCCGUGCAGCGCCGGGCUGGGGGCAGCCGGGGCUGGUGCCUCCUCCUGGGCCCUCACGCCUCUGCCGAGGUGCUGCUGGCACAUGGGGGGCCUGGCCCUCGCUGCCCCCGUGCCCCACAGCCGGGCUCUGGCUCGGGGUGCCCCCAUGGCACCAGCUCCCCCCUCCCUGGCCUGGCUUGCUCCAUGUCCUUCCAGCUUGCGCCGUGAAUAAUUCACCACCUCUGUCCCCGUUGUUUCCUUGCAGGUAUUUAUAGCCUGUGAUCACGUCUCCUUGGAGGCAGCUUGCUUUGCCGUGGUGUAAAUUUAGCUCCCGCCGUCUCUUACAUGUCAUGCCCUCCAGUCCUUGCAGGAGCCCUUCCACGCAGCUCCUCGCCAGUGGGUGUUGGAGCCCCCAUGCUCCCCCCUCUGCUGCCACAGCCCCGUGGCUGCCCCCAUAGCUGCCUGCUGCCCACCCUGCCCCACGGGGCCGUCCUGGGGCGCAGCAGGGAGAUGCUGUGCAGUGCCGUGCUGUGCCGUGCUGUGCUGUGCCGUGCGUCCUCCUCUCGGCAGCCCGGCCCUGGACGCCAGGACAGCUCAACUCGCCCCCGGCAGCUGCACGGGGUGACUGAGCCGUUCAGCUGCUGCGGCACGGGGGACGCUUUGAAAUUCCUGGACUGCCAUCUGUGCUAUGCAAAUCCCCCAAUCUGACGGCUGCAUGUUGGACCCGCUUCCGGACCUGGCGACGGGAGCUGUUAUUAUCUUGCUCCUCCUCCCUUCCAGCACCCAGCGGCAGAUUUGGGGCAGCAGAAACAUCGCCCUUCCCCACGGGGAGAAGCCUGACGUCCUUUGGCAAAAGGCCCUUGGUCUGCCCUGGCUGGGCCACGGAGUCAGCAGGGAAUGUGUUGGCUGGGGGGCUUGAGGGGAUGGUUGUGCCACUGGGUCACCGUGAGUCCCCAGGGUGCCGGGUCUGGUGGCUCGUACCGCGGUGCCCUGCGAGCCCCUGUGCUCCCAGGCAGGAGGUGUGCAGCCAGGGCUGGGGCCGAGGGGCAGCAGGGUCAGUGCCGGGAUGGAGCCGGGCGCGGGGUUGCGUGGUUCAGCUGUGCUGUCCUCAGGUGUGCUCCGAGGGUGGGGACUGGUGGGGACUGACCUGCGCUUCACCAGGGGGACAGGAUCCAGGGCUGACGGGUGUCUCUGAGCAGUGUUCCCAGCACCGAGAAUUGGGCAGGAGGCGGGUGCAGCCACUGUAGCACCCACGGAUGUCCUGAGUACAGGGUGAGUGCUGAGCGGGUGGGUGGCACUCAGGGCUGAGCUGUUGCCACAGGACACCCUGCUCCCCCACCCCAGGGACCCUGUCCCCAGCCUGGAGCUGCAUGAACCACACACAGACACAAAAAAAACCAGAACCAAGCACUGUCCCCCCCCGCCCUUUCCUCAAUGUGGAGCUGGUGCGCAAACACCUCCAUGAGCUGUCCUGGCUUUUCCCCCAGCUCACCCUGAGAUGUAUUGGGGCGUGAGGCUGUAUCAAGGGUGCUGAGGUGGCAGCGAGGGGCCACUGUCCCCAGUGUGGCCCCCCGCUACGUGCUCUUUAACCGCCAAGCUGGUGGGACGGUGUCCCCUGGCUGGGGCUGGGACAGCAGCAGCUCCCUGGGGUGACGAGGGAAGCGGGGGGCAGGUUUGCCAGCUCUGAUCGGGGAAGGUAAUUAAUGAGCAUCCUGCGCUGCUCCCCGCUGUGCCUCCAUCCCCGGGGGACCCCUCGGCCGGCAGCGCGGGUACCGCCUGCUCCCGCCGGCGCUGGGGGCUGGGGGACUUGGCGGCACGGGGCCUCGUUAAUAUUUUAGGAGCUCUUUUGUCCACAGGGGAUGAGGAGGCUCGCUCGCAAUCGCCUUUCAUCUCCAUGAGGCCUCAGCAUGGGCUCCAGCCUCUUAUCUACCGCCGCCUUGCCGCUUCGCUACAGCCAGAUUGAUACGGGGCUUGGGCUCUUUUUUUUUUUCUGGGCAGGGCUGGAAAAAAAGCCUGGAUGCUCCUGGCCAAAGGGCACCCGCAGCGGUGGCAGCUGCCGCAGCAUCCCUGCCUGCCCCUGCCUGCACCCCUCCAGGCAGGGCUCUGCCAGGGGCUGGACAUGCCCCCUGCAGCCCCGGGGAGGGCUCAGAGGUGGCUGCAGCGUCUGGACAUGCGUGUCCCCCCGUGGUGGCAGGGAGAGGGGAUUUGGGACGCAUGUGCAGUGCCUGCGGGGUCCCUGACCACAACUGAACUGGGGUGGGAUGCACUGGGGGCGGCUGCGUCCCCAGGGCUCUGCCAAUGGGUGCACUGAAACAGUGUCAUCCAGGGGGUGUCCAACGUGGCCGUGAAACACCAGCCCUGGCUGGGAAGGGGCAGAGCCGGGGCACAGCGGGGUUGGUGCGAGGAGGAAGAGGGUGAUGAAGGAGCAAGUGGCUGGAGGGCGAAAGUGGGGGCUGAGCUGCACUUCUGCUCCCCACAACCUGGAGAUCACAACCAAAGCUGGGAGAGCAGAGGGUGCCCUGGGAACAGGUCUGGCUCAGCUCUGGGGCUUUUCCCAGUCAUGCCCCAUGGAUGGUCCUCCCUUGGUCCUCUCUCGGUCCUAUCGCUUGCUCGGCCGGUGCCGGGCUGUCCCCAGCUCCCACACUCAUGGGCUUGGCCCUUCUUGUCUCCCGCAGCAGCAUUGCUCAUGGUGCCUUUUCCUCAGUGCUUGUCCCAGAUCAGCAAGUGGUGUGGGCUGUGCUGGGUCCUUGCUUGGGGUCCCUGGGGGCUCUCCAAGUCACCCACACCCAUGCACGGGCUCUGCUGUUUUCAGUGUUGCAUUUCUCUUCCUGGCUCUGUCCAUUGUCCAUCCCUUGUGUCACUGAGGAACAAUGGAGCAGGAGUCACCUUGCCCUGGGAAAAACCCAACCCACAUGCCUGGCCAAGUUCAACUGUGGGGGACGGCCUUGGCAAGAACAAGAUGUAGCUGCCCAUGUGUCUGUCCCACCAGAGCCAAACCCAUCUGUCCGUCCCUUUGCACAAGCAAGAACUUGGGUGCUGGGAGGAGAUCGUGCUGAUGGACUUCAGGGGAGUUUGCUGGCUGUGUCCUGCCAGUGCUGAUGGCUUCUUCCCAUGGGAAAAAUCCUCCUCCAUCUCCUUCACCCAGGGAUGCACACCAGGGGUCAGAGCUCCUCCAUCCCGCAGCGGUGGGGAACAUGCUGUCCCCAGGGAUCCGAGCAUCCCUCCUGCCGCUGCCGCGCUGCCGGCUCGCCCCAGCUGGCAGGCCCGGCUUGGGGACCGGGGGAUGGCUGGCGCCUGCGCUCAGCAAGGCGGUGAGCUCACGGGUUUAAUUUUCUCAAGGCUUCGUUUGGCUCUGACAUGUGAUCCUCGUUACAGGAAGGACGCGGCAAACGCGAUGUCCCCUGGGGCUGGCUGGCUCGACCUUGUGGGAAGAGGUAAGAGCACAUCAUAGCUUUUCCGCCCCACUGGUGUUGCUUCCAACAGCAAUUUAAUAUCUCCCUGAUAACCCAGGCUGAGUUUCAGGCACUGUUAGGAAAAAAAGCAACAAAGAGGCAUCCGCUGACAAGUACGUGUCCUCAGCUGAGGUCCCCGGGUGUGGGUGUGUGUGGCUGGCCCUGCACCGUGGCCCGUGCUGCCCAUCACCAGCCCCAGGCCUGUUCUUGUCCCCUGGCAGGGAGCAGGUUCCCUGGCCAGGGAUGUGAUGCCCUCCUGGAGUGGCAAGUGGGGGCCAUCACCUGCCGUGCUUGGUGGAUGGGGAAUGGCCACUGGCCCCAUCUAGGACAAGGUGGGAGCUGUCACAGCUCCAGCCCACCCCGUGGCAAAGCUGCCGCCACACCCCAGCAUCCUGACCCCGUAUGAUCCCACCCGGCUCCCACCCCGGGGCAGCUGCUGGUGGGGGGCUGGGAUGCUCCUGUGGGCUUUGCCCAGCCCCGGGGCAAGUGCUGGCUGCACCGGUGCUCCUGCACAGGCAGUGAGGAUGGGACUCACCUUUGGGUGCAGCGGGGAUGGGACUCGCCUUUGGGCGCAGCAGGAUUUGGGACGGGCUCAGCUCGCAUACACAGCCCUCUGAGCUCUGCUCUCCAGGCUGGUCUGGCCAGACACAGCUCUCCAGGUCCAGGUCUCUGACCAUGGCUCCCCAGACUCGGCUCUCGGAGCUCAGUUCUCCAGACUCUGUUUCCCAGGCUCCUUUCCUUGGAUUCAGUUCCCUCUGCCCACCUCUGUGGGCUCUCCGGGCUCCGUGCCUUGGGCAUGGCUCUCCAGGCUUUUCAGGCAUGGCUGGAGGUCGCUCUCCAUACUCGACUCCCCGGGUACCCCUUUUGGAGGUGUCUCCCCAGGCUCGGUGCCUCCGUGGUGGUUUCCCAGCAGCUCCUGAUCUGGGCUCCCCAGCCAACCAGGUGCCAGCAGAGGGCCUCCCUUACCAAACAGAGCGUUGCGCCGCCACCAAAUUAUAAAACACAUUAUCUAUUUUGCGAAACUUUGUGCGAGUACCAGGAAAUGGGCUGGAGUUUAUUCUCCUCCAGAAGACCGGAGACAACGUGUUCCCCCCUGCUUCUUUUUUUGAUGCCGGCACUCGACAUGCAUUAAAGCCGCGGGAGUGUUCAUCAUUAAAAUGGCAAUUGUGAAGCGAGGCAAUAAAUUUAACAUCAUAAAAGGCACUGGGAGGGUCUCGUUCAUCUGUUGCUCUUCAAAGGAAAGUGUUAGUUGCUUCCAAAAUAAAAUAAUUGGGAAGAAGCAGGUGAGAGGGAAACGGGUGGCAGCGUCCCCGCCUGCCGGGGUGCUGCACGGAGCCAACGUGGGGCUUUGGCCGGGAGACGUGACCCUUGGGGCUGCACGUCUGGGGCUGCUGGCGGGGGAGCGCUGAGGCUGUGGCUCUGCAGGUGUUGGGGACAUGUGGCUGCAUCUCUCGGGGUCUGCGCGUUGCGGGGGGACAAGCAGAGGAGCGAGGGUGUUGUGAACAUCCCCCCUUCUGUGGGUGCGAUGGCCCUGUCCCCAACCCAGCCGGGGUGAGGGGGACAGGGAAACCCAUCAGCCAGGGUGGCAAUGGGGAGGGACCCCAGCUCUGCCCUCAGUGGCUGCGGGGCCAGGGGAUCCCCCGGGAUUGGGGCUGCUCUGUGCUGGGAGCACCCGGCUCCCACCGCCGCCCCGCCGAUGGCCAUCGCCCCACGCCAGCCCCGCGGUGGCGUCUGCCGGCAGAAUGAGCCGUCGUAUGGGAACCGUUUGCUAAAUAAUUCAGGAGAUUUCUUUUUUCCUUUUUUCUUUUUUUUUUUUUUUUUGUUGAGAAAGCCGGUUUGCUUGCUUUUUUUUCCUUUAAGGUCGUAGUAUUUUCCAAGCUGGGUUUCGAGCGGGGGGGCGCGGACACGCUCAGGCAAUACCGCCAUGUGUUUACAGCUCCGCUCCCGGCGUUAUUUAGGGAUUGUAAAACCACAGCGGCUCACUCGCUCCCCCUCGCUCGCCGCAGCCAAUUUUUUUCCUCCAUGUGGCUCUCGCUGCAGCGGCAAAGUAUGCCGUGGGUUUUGAGGUGCCUCUGAGCACCCCAAGAGCUCCCCAUGUGCCGAAUCUGCCGGCUGAGCCACAGUCCCCCUGGUGCCUGCAGGAUGGCGUUUCGGCAUCAUCCUAGGACAGCAACCCUCCCAUCUCAGCGGGGUUUCUGAGCACCAAUGUGAACAUCCACCAUCACCAGUUCUCCUCAGCAGUGUGCUGACGCCCUGAUCGCCUCUUCGUUACUGCUGCUGGGAAGAAACCCUCACCCUUUUUCUCGUUCCCAUGGCCCGGGAGAUUCCUGCAUCCCUUGGCUUCCCUCAACAACUUCCAGCUCCCGCAGACUUCUUUACCUCCCUCAUCACCCGAUACUGGCCUCCAGAUCCGUGAGAAACAGGGUGACAGUCCACGCGUGGGGGCUGGAGGAAGGAUGGAUGAACAGACACCACCGAGUUUGUGCAGCUGGUGAGGAGCAGAUCUGCCGUGGCUUGGCAUGGUGCUCAGCCCGGCUGCCCGCUGGCCAUCCCUGCCAGCUCCAGCAACGGACGUGAUGCCACCUCUUGCACCGGUUGUUUCCCUGACUGAAGAUGAUGGCUAAAGACAGACUCCUCCAUUGGCCCAUGAAUGCCCAUACCCACGGGGACGGGAGCACUCAUGAAGAAGCACAGCCAGCUCUCUGGUGACCACCAGAGCUCAGCUCUUCCCAAGGAUCAGCUCUCUGGCUGCCUCAGGAGCAAAGACAGAUGCCCAGAGAAGCCUGGGUGCUCCUCACUAUGGUGGUCAACAGCUGGAGCUGGGCCUACAGCGGUCCAGGGGCUUGCAUUUUGUGUUGAGAAGACAUCCAACACCGAGAACACAUCCAGCAUACCUGGGACAUGGACAGAGUGCCACUACAAGAUGAACACUCAGCGAUACCUUCAUGUCUUUAGAGUUGCCAGCUUGGGUCCUGGAGUGUGUCACCACAUCUGCCUUGCUUCGAGGAGCACAAGGAGCAGGAACCUGCCACCUCUCACCGGUGGCUUCUGCACACAGAAGAGCUGGUCCCCUGGGGCAGCUGUUCCCAAGAGCCACUGAAAUGCUGUGAGUGGGGUCAAGACGUGGGCAACUACGUGUCAGGGUGGCAUCUCCUGGAGCCAGUGGCCGAUGGAGGGUGGACUGAGAGUGAACUGUGAGCUGGGCUUGACCAAAAGGGGUCAUUUCAAUGAGGUGCAGGGAAAAUCAAGCCUUAUGACCACAGGAGGCAGUGGGAGAGGGUUGCGGAGGAGCAGCAAGGGAGGGGGUGGCACCCUGAGAGGAGGAGCCUGUGCUGGUGGGAGGUUGGAGUGGUGAAGGUGCCGCAAGGUGUGUUUAAUUCCCUGGGUGGCUUCAACGAAGGACGCCCUAGCAGCACGGCACAGUUUCGCCCAGCUGCGCUUGUCUGCAAUACAGCCACCCCUGCUUCCCCAAAAUACUUGGGAGGGCUGGAGUAGGCCAACUCCACCACCCUCAUCGAUGCUGCAGGGAGCCUAUUUUAAGCCUUGCUAACGUAGGAGGAUUAAAUUUGGCUGGCUGAGACACGUCCUGCUCCCAGCUGUCCCCCAGCCUCCCCUGAGGUUGGCAGCUCUGCUGCAGGCUCGGCUCAUGAUGCAGGAGGCUGCCCUGCACCCCCGGGGUCGGCCGCCCUGCCAAGGGGAGCCCAAAUCUGGGGCAUCUUCUUGGCUGCAGAGGCACCCGGCACAAGUUGAUGGUAAAAACUCUUCCAGGCAUUGGCAUCAAUGGGUUGACCGGUGGGAAGCGAUAGGGGAUCAACCCCGGUGAUACAGAUGGGUCUGAAGUGUGCAGAGGUCUUCAGCACCAUGGUCCCCUCUACAGGGCCCUUACUGGGGGAGCGGGGUGAUGGGGGAGUCCAGGCCUUCCCCUGCUGGGGCAAGGGCAGAGAAACACCCCUGGGGAUGCCUGCCCCUGCCUGUCCUGCCUGCCCCUCUCCUUCCUGUUCCUGCCUGUCCUGCCUGCCAAGGAUGCAGGUGCCCGGGCAGCCCUGCCGAGACCAGCUUGGUGACCCAGCCCCACAGGCAUUGGGCUCUCCGCAGAGUGCAGGUCCUCUUGCUUGCCCUCGCUCCCCCAGCCCCCGCAUACACUCUGCGUUCCUGGUCAAGCGUGUUGUUUUAUUAAUUUAUGGAGUGCUUGUUGCUGGAGGCCUUGCAGAAGAGCCUCAUGGAAAAUUGCAUUUUGCCUGCGCAGAUUUAUCUGCCCGCGCCUGCCGUGUGUAUUUAAGGGAGCGUCACACCCAGCCCAGCCGUCACUGGCUGCGUUACCAAACGCCGUCUGGAGCCUGGGCAGCGAGGGACAAAUGUUCGGCCGGAGGAAAUGAGGCAAGUGGCGGAGGGGAGAGCGCUGAUUUACACGUGGCGGGGCAGACCACCGCCUCCUCCCCAGCACCGCACCGGCCUCCGCCGCUGGUUCCUGCUGCCACGGGGAAUGUCACUCGAUGGCUCUUCCUCCGUUUGUUCAUUUGGAAGAUGGGGGGUAAUAAUACCCGUCACCUAUUCGCGAGGCUGUUGUGAAUUUUCAUGAGCUACCAUCUGAACGGGGCUUUGAGCAGGAAAACUGCUGUAUCAGCUCUAGGCAAUGAUAAACAAUACUCAGCAUUUACAUAUUCAAAGCACUUUGAUUAACUCUUGGGGUUUUAAGGACUUGAGUCGAUUCCCACCCGAGUGCAAUAGCAGCUGGACGGGGUGAGCUGGGGGAGAGCUGGGGCUUCACCCCCCGGCCAGGGCCAGGGGAACCCCCACCACAGUCGCACAAAGCACCUCCUGCCUGAAAUCCCUGCAUGAUAAAGGAAAAACAAAUAAGGCUCAUCCAGGCUUGCGGAAGGGGUGAGAUCCCGCAAUGCGAAGCGGGAAGCAGGCGCAGAGUGAGGAGUUUCGUCAGUUUUGCUGCAAAAGCUGUAACCAGGUGUUAAAUAGCUGUGAAAUUCUAACUUGAUUCAUGCAGGAGUUGCCAAAUAGAUUUUACUUUUCCUUCUUUAAAAAACAAAUUAGAGAAAGACGGGCCUAUGCUUUCCCUGAGGCAAAGCGCUGCAGAUACCGUGUGGCCUCCUCCCCAGCUCAGCUGCUAAUGCCACAGGGGCAAAAAGCGAAGGAGACCAAAGCCAGGAAAAUGAUUUAUCAUUUUACUCAGCAGAUUUUUAUUCUUUCUUACCAAGUCUUUUCAGUCCUCUGAUUUUAAAUACCACCCCUCCCAGUCCAGCGGAUGAUCAGUCUCCCCCGGGGUGCUUGCUGCAAGAGGAUCCUUCAGCAUUAUUAUUAAAAUCACUGCCAAACA